rnacentral:lncRNA from 1 species
CAGUAGUGAAUGGUUAAUGCAGUCACAAUAGGGAAAGUGGAGAUGUGCUGCUUGCAAACAGGAUGUUCUGCCAAGGAGACGGACACAGCCUUGAGAUUAACGGUCCCUUGCUAAUAAGGGAACAUUCCCUUCUUGUGAUAAGGGCUCUGGACAGACUCUGCAGUAAGCCGGAAUUUCACUCCCUUUUGCUGUACAAUAACAUUUAUGCACAUGCACUGUACUGAACAAGUUUGGUCAUACAGUCUGGAAUUCUGCCCAGGAGGGCUAUAUAAAAAUAAACCACGAGCUUGCUUGCUUGCGCAGUUAUUAUUUUCCCUCUGGCCAGAGUGUGUCUGUCUCUUGUAUGUGUGUCUUGUUGUUUUAUGUCAUUUCAUUCGUACUCUCCAGAAAUCUCCUACAUCUGGCACCCAAUGUGGGGCUCGAGUGAAACCAAAAGCUCUUCCACCGAUGGCAGAAAAAGAAACAACUAAAGCGCGAAGCAGAAAAGAUCCAGAUCGUGCUACAAUUUAUGUAAACAAAUAAAAAAGGGGGAAAUGGAGGGUUAAUGCAGCCAUAAUAGGGAAAGUGGGAAUGUGCUGCAGGCGGGACUCUCUGCUCGGUCUCAGUUUUGUAUAACAUGAGCCCUUCAAGAAAUUAACCAAGCCAUAUAAAUAAAAAGAGUUCUAGAUGCCCAUCAUCUAGAGAGAUUCUGCCUAGCCCCCCAAAGGUGGCUGGAUAGCCAAUGAUGGGUAAGACCCUCAGAGGAGGGCAACCUAAGGCAGGCACAGCCACGAGAGGGGCUGGUGAGGCUGGAGGUUAGCCGCCUACAGCUUUACGCCUUGUUCUACAGAACAUCAAUAAAAAUGUCUCAAGGGCUUAAAUAAAAUAAAAAAGGGGGAGAUGAAGGGUUAAUGCAGCCACAAUAGGGAAAGUGGAGAUGUGCUGCUUGCAAACAGGAUGUUCUGCCAAGGAGACGGACACAGCCUUGGUAUUAACGGUCCCUUGCUAAUAAAGGAACAUUCCCUUCUUGUGAUAAGGGCUCUGGACAGACUCUGCAGUAAGCCGGAAUUUCACUCCCUUUUGCUGUACGAUAACAUUUAUGCCCAUGCGCUGUACUGAACAAGUUUGCUCAUACAGUCUGGAAUUCUGUACAGGGGGGCUAUAUAAAAAUAAACCACGAGCUUGCUUGCUUGUGAAGUUAUUAUUUUCCCUCUGGCCAGAGCGUGUCUGUCUCUUGUAUGUGUGUCUUGUUGUUUUAUGUCAUUUCACUCUUAAUCUCCAGAAAUCUCCUACAAGUAGUUUGAACAUUCUUUGGGAUUGCCCUUCUUUAGGAUUGGAAUGAAAACUGACCUUCCAGUCCUGUGGGCACUGCUGAGCUUUCCAAAUUUGCUGGCAUAUUGCAUGUAACACUUUAACAAAAUAUUCUCAUAGAAUUUGCAAUAUAUCAGCUGUAAUUCCAUCACAUUCACUAGCUUUCUUCAUAAUAAUGUUUGCUAAGUCCCACUUGACUUCACAUUCCAGAAUGUCUGUCUCUAGGUGAGUGAUCACACCUUUAUCAUUAUUUGGUUCAUUAAGACAUUUUUUUGCACAGUUCUUUUGUGCAUUCUUGUACUUCUUAAUCUCUUCUACUUUUGUUAGGUCCUUGCAUUUCCUGUCCUUUAUUGUGCCCAUCUUUGCAUGAAAUACUCCUUUUGUUAUCUCUAAUUUUCUUGAAGAGAUCUCUAGUCUUUCCUAUUCUAUUGUUUCCCUCUAUUUCUUCGCAUUUUUCGCUUAAGAAUGUUUUCGUGUCUCUCCUUGCUAUUCUCUGGAACUCUGCAUUCAGUUGGUAUAUCUUUACCAUUCUCUUUUCUCAGCUCUUUUUUUAACGCUUCCUCAGAUAACCACUUUGCCUUCUUGCAUUUCUUUUCCUUGGAGAUGGUUUUAGUCACCACUUC